CCUUGUGUGAAAUUGCCAAUAGACACACUCUGGCACAGCCAUGACUUAACAUAACAUCACUGCCACAGGCUAAUUUGCAUAUCAUGUGACCGGACUUUUCUCUUGUUUGUAAUC